CGAAAGCCUGACGGAGCAAUACCGCGUGAGGGAAGAAUGCCUAUGGGUUGUAAACCUCUUUUUUUAGGGAGGAAUAAAUGACGUGUACCUGAAGAAUAAGCAUCGGCUAACUCCGUGCCAGCAGCCGCGGUAAUACGGAGGAUGCGAGUGUUAUCCGGAAUCACUGGGCGUAAAGCGUCUGCAGGUUGUUGUUUAAGUCAACUGUUAAAUCUUGGGGCUUAACCUCGAAAUCGCAGUCGAAACUACUCAACUAGAGUAUAGUAGAGGUAAAGAGAAUUUCCAGUGGAGCGGUGAAAUGCGUAGAUAUUGGAAAGAAUACCGAUGGCGAAGGCAUUUUACUGGGCUAUUACUGACACUCAGAGACGAGAGCUAGGGUAGCA
rnacentral:rRNA from 1 species